UCAAGUUUAAAUGGGGUCGUGUUUACCGUGUUCACUAGAAGAGUCCAUAUGGACGCCCUCAUCUUGUUGCAUUUACGACUUCGUAAGUGAAAGGUUUCUGAAAGCUCAUGGCACGAGUGUACACAACUUUCCAUUUCAUAACGAACUCAGUUCCAUUUGAAAGCACCGUUAUGUUUUGAUAUAGGCAGGCCCUACCCUUACUGAAAGUAUUAACGUAACUGGCAAACUGCGUAGACCUCGAUGAGCUGAAUUCAUACCUUCUGCUCUGAUGUCUGAGUGCGUGUCGCCGAGGUCGAGGGCGAAGUGGAGCUGACAUUUGAACAUCUCUCUGUCGUCCAUGUGAACGAGAUCAUGAACACUCUGCUGGACCACAUCCGACUGAUGACAGUUUUUACCUGAUGGAAGCCGAGGAAGUCCUGGAUGGUCGGAGAUGCGUAAAAGAUCGUGCCAUCACUCGUCACGACCAACACGAAGCCAUUUAAAGCCUG